GAUGAACGCUGGCGGCGUGCCUAAUACAUGCAAGUCGAGCGAACAGACGAGGAGCUUGCUCCUCUGACGUUAGCGGCGGACGGGUGAGUAACACGUGGAUAACCUGCCUAUAAGACUGGGAUAACUUCGGGAAACCGGAGCUAAUACCGGAUAAUAUAUUGAACCGCAUGGUUCAAUAGUGAAAGACGGUUUUGCUGUCACUUAUAGAUGGAUCCGCGCCGCAUUAGCUAGUUGGUAAGGUAACGGCUUACCAAGGCAACGAUGCGUAGCCGACCUGAGAGGGUGAUCGGCCACACUGGAACUGAGACACGGUCCAGACUCCUACGGGAGGCAGCAGUAGGGAAUCUUCCGCAAUGGGCGAAAGCCUGACGGAGCAACGCCGCGUGAGUGAUGAAGGUCUUCGGAUCGUAAAACUCUGUUAUUAGGGAAGAACAAAUGUGUAAGUAACUAUGCACGUCUUGACGGUACCUAAUCAGAAAGCCACGGCUAUCUACGUG
rnacentral:rRNA from 1 species